rnacentral:rRNA from 1 species
AGAGUUUGAUCCUGGCUCAGAUUGAACGCUGGCGGCAGGCCUGACACAUGCAAGUCGAACGGUAACAGGAAGCAGCUUGCUGCUUCGCUGACGAGUGGCGGACGGGUGAGUAAUGUCUGGGAAACUGCCUGAUGGAGGGGGAUAACUACUGGAAACGGUAGCUAAUACCGCAUAAUGUCGCAAGACCAAAGAGGGGGACCUUCGGGCCUCUUUCCAUCGGAUGUGCCCAGAUGGGAUUAGCUUGUUGGUGGGGUAACGGCUCACCUAGGCGACGAUCCCUAGCUGGUCUGAGAGGAUGACCAGCCACACUGGAACUGAGACACGGUCCAGACUCCUACGGGAGGCAGCAGUGGGGAAUAUUGCACAAUGGGCGCAAGCCUGAUGCAGCCAUGCCGCGUGUAUGAAGAAGGCCUUCGGGUUGUAAAGUACUUUCAGCGGGGAGGAAGGGAGUAAAGUUAAUACCUUUGCUCAUUGACGUUACCCGCAGAAGAAGCACCGG